rnacentral:rRNA from 1 species
CCAAUAGCGUAUAUUAAAGUUGUUGCAGUUAAAAAGCUCGUAGUUGAAUUUCGGGGUUUAUCCGUCGGUCGGGCUUUUGGGUCUGUACUGGCGUGAUAGAUUCCUACCUUCUGAAUAACCGGCAUGUCAUUAAUUUGGUGCGCCGGGGAAGCAGGACUGUUACCUUGAAAAAAUUAGAGUGCUUAACGCAGGCUUAUGCCUGAAUACAUUAGCAUGGAAUAAUGAAAUAGGACGGAAUGGUUCUAUUUUGUUGGUUUCUAGGAUCACCGUAAUGAUUAAUAGGGAUAGUUGGGGGCAUUAGUAUUCAAUUGUCAGAGGUGAAAUUCUUGGAUUUAUUGAAGACUAACUUCUGCGAAAGCAUUUGCCAAGGAUGUUUUCAUUAAUCAAGAACGAAAGUUAGGGGAUCGAAGACGAUCAGAUACCGUCGUAGUCUUAACCAUAAACUAUGCCGACUAGGGAUCGGACGAUGUUAAUUUUUUAAUGACUCGUUCGGCGCCUUACG